GACAGAGGAUGCAAGCGUUAUCCGGAAUGAUUGGGCGUAAAGCGUCUGUAGGUGGCUUUUCAAGUCCGCCGUCAAAUCCCAGGGCUCAACCCUGGACAGGCGGUGGAAACUACCAAGCUGGAGUACGGUAGGGGCAGAGGGAAUUUCCGGUGUAGCGGUGAAAUGCUUAGAUAUCGGGUGGAACACCAGUGGCGAAGGCGCUGCUCUGGGCCGGUACUGACGCUGAGGAGCGAAAGCGUGGGUAGCAAACAGG
rnacentral:rRNA from 1 species